rnacentral:rRNA from 1 species
GAUGUGUAGGAUAGGUGGGAGGCUUUGAAGUGUGGACGCCAGUCUGCAUGGAGCCGACCUUGAAAUACCACCCUUUAAUGUUUGAUGUUCUAACGUUGACCCGUAAUCCGGGUUGCGGACAGUGUCUGGUGGGUAGUUUGACUGGGGCGGUCUCCUCCUAAAGAGUAACGGAGGAGCACGAAGGUUGGCUAAUCCUGGUCGGACAUCAGGAGGUUAGUGCAAUGGCAUAAGCCAGCUUGACUGCGAGCGUGACGGCGCGAGCAGGUGCGAAAGCAGGUCAUAGUGAUCCGGUGGUUCUGAAUGGAAGGGCCAUCGCUCAACGGAUAAAAGGUACUCCGGGGAUAACAGGCUGAUACCGCCCAAGAGUUCAUAUCGACGGCGGUGUUUGGCACCUCGAUGUCGGCUCAUCACAUCCUGGGGCUGAAGUAGGUCCCAAGGGUAUGGCUGUUCGCCAUUUAAAGUGGUACGCGAGCUGGGUUUAGAACGUCGUGAGACAGUUCGGUCCCUAUCUGCCGUGGGCGCUGGAGAACUGAGGGGGGCUGCUCCUAGUACGAGAGGACCGGAGUGGACGCAUCACUGGUGUUCGGGUUGUCAUGCCAAUGGCACUGCCCGGUAGCUAAAUGCGGAAGAGAUAAGUGCUGAAAGCAUCUAAGCACGAAACUUGCC